rnacentral:misc_RNA from 1 species
GAUGAAGAACGCAGCGAAAUGCGAUAAGUAAUGUGAAUUGCAGAAUUCAGUGAAUCAUCGAAUCUUUGAACGCACAUUGCGCCCGCCAGUAUUCUGGCGGGCAUGCCUGUCCGAGCGUCAUUUCAACCCUCAGGCCCUGGUUGCCGGGUGUUGGGGCGCCGCGCACCCUCUGCGGGCGCGGGCCCCGAAAGUCAGUGGCGGGCUCGCCAGGACUCCGAGCGCAGUAAUUUUCUCUCGCUGUGGAGCGCCUGGUGGGUUACCAGCCGUAAAACACCCCAAAUUCCAAAGGUUGACCUCGGAUCAGGUAGGAAUACCCGCUGAACUUAAGCAUAUCAAUAAGCGGAGGA